AUAANUAGAGUGCUGUAGGGGAGACUGGAAUUCCUGGUGUAGCGGUGGAAUGCGCAGAUAUCAGGAGGAACACCGAUGGCGAAGGCAGGUCUCUGGGCAGUAACUGACGCUGAGGAGCGAAAGCAUGGGGAGCGAACAGGAUUAGAUACCCUGGUAGUCCAUGCUGUAAACGGUGGGCGUUAGGUGUGGGGACCGGUUUGGUUUCUGUGCCGUAGCUAACGCAUUAAGCGCCCCGCCUGGGGAGUACGGCCGCAAGGCUAAAACUCAAAGGAAUUGACGGGGGCCCGCACAAGCGGCGGAGCAUGUGGAUUAAUUCGAUGCAACGCGAAGAACCUUACCUGGGUUUGACAUGCACCAGACGGUUGUAGAGAUACGUACCUCCCUUUGUGGUUGGUGUGCAGGUGGUGCAUGGUUGUCGUCAGCUCGUGUCGUGAGAUGUUGGGUUAAGUCCCGCAACGAGCGCAACCCUUGUCUUAUGUUGCCAGCACUUUGGGUGGGGACUCAUGAGAGACUGCCGGGGUUAACUCGGAGGAAGGUGGGGAUGACGUCAAAUCAUCAUGCCCUUUAUGCCCAGGGCUUCACACAUGCUACAAUGGUUAGUACAACGCGCUGCGAGCCUGUGAGGGUGAGCGAAUCGCUGAAAGCUAAUCUCAGUUCGGAUUGGGGUCUGCAACUCGACCCCAUGAAGUCGGAGUCGCUGGUAAUCGCAGAUCAGCAAUGCUGCGGUGAAUACGUUCCCGGGCCUUGUACACACCGCCCGUCACGUCAUGAAAGUUGGUAACACCCGAAGCCCAUGGCC
rnacentral:rRNA from 1 species